rnacentral:other from 1 species
GCUUACCUGCCCUGUUAGUGGUUAGGUGAAAGUGUUGAUCCCGCAAAUUAGAUAUUUUGGGAGCCAGCGUAAGGUAAGCGGUGUGCAGGCCUCCCCCAGAAAUGGGAUGAGAGGAAGUCUAAGCUACCUUCAAGGCGCCCACCUGUAGUAACAGGGAUCUAAUUUUUCGCUUACACGGCAGGGUGGGUUUUAA